UGCUUACGCAUGCAGUCGACGGGGCUCUCGGAGCUAGUGGCGGACGGGGUGAGUACGCGUGAGAUCUGCCUCAGGAGGGGGAUACGACUGGAACGGUCGCUAAUACCCAUAUGCUCCGGGUGAAAGUAAUCGCCUGAAGAUGAGCUCGCGUCAGAUAGCUAGUUGGUGGGGUAAGAGCUACCAAAGCGACGAUCUGUAGCUGGUCUGAGAGGAUGAUCAGNCACACUGGGACUGAGACACUGNCCAGACUCCUACGGGAGGCAGCAGUGGGGAAUUUUCCUGCAAUGGGCGCAAGCCUGACGGAGCAAGACCGCGUGGGGGAUGACGGCCUAAUGGUUGUAAACCCCUUUUCUCUGGGAAGAAGACUGACGGUACCAGAGGAAUCAGCCUCGGCUAACUCCGUGCCAGCAGCCGCGGUAAUACGGAGGAGGCAAGCGUUAUCCGGAAUUAUUGGGCGUAAAGCGUCCGUAGGUGGUUAUUCAAGUCUGCUGUCAAAGCGUGGGGCUUAACUCCAUAGAGGCAGUGGAAACUGAGUGACUAGAGUGCGGUAGGGGUCGAGGGAAUUCCCAGUGUAGCGGUGAAAUGCGUAGAUAUUGGGAAGAAUACCAGUGGCGAAAGCGCUCGACUGGGCCUGCACUGACACUGAGGGACGAAAGCUAGGGGAGCGAACGGGAUUAGAUACCCCUGUAAGUCCUAGCCGUAAACGAUGGAUACUAGGUGUUGCUCGUCAUCGACCCGAACAGUUGCGUAGCCAACGCGUUAAGUAUCCCGCCUGGGGAGUACGCUCGCAAGAGUGAAACUCAAAGGAAUUGACGGGGUGCCGCACAAGCGGUGGAGUAUGUGGU
rnacentral:rRNA from 1 species